rnacentral:rRNA from 1 species
AUCCAGCCAUGCCGCGUGUGUGAAGAAGGCCUUUUGGUUGUAAAGCACUUUAAGCGAGGAGGAGGAGCUCUUGGUUAAUACCCAAGAUGCUUGGACGUUACUCGCAGAAUAAGCACCGGCUAACUCUGUGCCAGCAGCCGCGGUAAUACAGAGGGUGCAAGCGUUAAUCGGAUUUACUGGGCGUAAAGCGCGCGUAGGUGGCCAAUUAAGUCAAAUGUGAAAUCCCCGAGCUUAACUUGGGAAUUGCAUUCGAUACUGGUUGGCUAGAGUAUGGGAGAGGAUGGUAGAAUUCCAGGUGUAGCGGUGAAAUGCGUAGAGAUCUGGAGGAAUACCGAUGGCGAAGGCAGCCAUCUGGCCUAAUACUGACACUGAGGUGCGAAAGCAUGGGGAGCAAACAGGAUUAGAUACCCUGGUAGUCCAUGCCGUAAACGAUGUCUACUAGCCGUUGGGGCCUUUGAGGCUUUAGUGGCGCAGCUAACGCGAUAAGUAGACCGCCUGGGGAGUACGGUCGCAAGACUAAAACUCAAAUGAAUUGACGGGGGCCCGCACAAGCGGUGGAGCAUGUGGUUUAAUUCGAUGCAACGCGAAGA